UACGGAGGAUCCGAGCGUUAUCCGGAUUUAUUGGGUUUAAAGGGUGCGUAGGCGGAUUAUUAAGUCAGUGGUGAAAGCCUGCAGCUUAACUGCAGAACUGCCAUUGAUACUGAUGAUCUUGAGUAUGAUUGAGGUGGGCGGAAUGUGUCAUGUAGCGGUGAAAUGCGUAGAGAUGUGGAGGAACACCAGUGGCGAAGGCGGCUUUCUGGUCUGUAACUGACGCUGAGGCGCGAAAGCGUGGGGAGCAAAC
rnacentral:rRNA from 1 species